ACUAAUUCAUGUAAUGUUUUCAGACGUAUUUAUUAUGUAAACAAUAUUACACUUGUGCAACAAUAUAAUAAUGACCUAUCAUUAACAGCACGAAAUUAUACACAAUACUUCGCCGAAUAGAACGAAUAUGUCAAUAAGUCUACGACCUUUAACUCUGCUCACAAGAAAUUUAUUGCUUCAAAGAGGUUUGUAUUGCAACUGCGAGCAAAUUUCGGUUUUACAGUUAGCUUUUACUGUUAGAUUAAACGCUUUGUUAAAGUCAA